rnacentral:lncRNA from 1 species
AUCACCGAGAUAGGCAACUUGAAUAGGGGUAUAAAAUAUAGGGGGAAGAAGUGAGCACAGAGUUAAUUAAUAUGAGUCUUCCACAAGAGGACAAGUACUUGCUUUUCCAAGAAGCGAACUUAUUUUCAAGUUUUUGCACCAUCAUCAUCCAGACCGAUUUCGGUGGUUUACCACCACUAAGGGGCAUGCCUAAGUAUAUGAAGGGAGUACAUUCCUCCAGAUAAUUGAGUCAAGUAGCAACUUCUAUCCUUUCUUCACUCCAACGACCA